rnacentral:rRNA from 1 species
GAUGAACGCUGGCGGCGUGCCUAAUACAUGCAAGUCGAGCGAACAGAUGAGGAGCUUGCUCCUCUGACGUUAGCGGCGGACGGGUGAGUAACACGUGGAUAACCUACCUAUAAGACUGGGAUAACUUCGGGAAACCGGAGCUAAUACCGGAUAAUAUAUUGAACCGCAUGGUUCAAUAGUGAAAGACGGUUUUGCUGUCACUUAUAGAUGGAUCCGCGCCGCAUUAGCUAGUUGGUAAGGUAACGGCUUACCAAGGCAACGAUGCGUAGCCGACCCGAGGGGGUGAUCGGCCACACUGGAACUGAGACACGGUCCAGACUCCUACGGGAGGCAGCAGUAGGGAAUCUUCCGCAAUGGGCGAAAGCCUGACGGAGCAACGCCGCGUGAGUGAUGAAGGUCUUCGGAUCGUAAAACUCUGUUAUUAGGGAAGAACAAAUGUGUAAGUAACUAUGCACGUCUUGACGGUACCUAAUCAGAAAGCCACGGCUAACUACGUG